rnacentral:lncRNA from 1 species
CGCUCAUUGUCCACACUCUCAAGCAGACUCCUUGGUGCCCUACCUGGGGGAAGGCAUGAAUCAUGGGCAACCUCGGGCGGCAGCGGUGGCCCCCAAGGGCUUCCCAAGAGGCAUCUGAAGGAGAACUUGCCCUUGAGAAGACGCAAACUCAGAUGUGUGUGCAGAAAACACACCAAGAGCAUCUCCACACGCUGGAUGUCCCCGGGCGCUGGACGUCCCCACACGCUGGACGUCCCCACACAUGCUGGCUCCCUUCAUUCCCGGCAGCUCUAUGGAAUAGGUACUUUCUCCCCUCCACAGGGAUCCUGAGAGUGAAAUGAUUCCUAAAGGCACCCCCACCUCCUGACCCAGAGCUGUGGUUUCCAUCUGCUCCAACACAGCCACAGACAGGUCACCUCGUCGCAAGUGAACCUUAUAGAUCAUUUAAAGGCAAGAUGACUUGCUCAUAGGACAUGGCCUAGGGACCUUGCUCCCAAGAGAGGUCUGUGGACCCUCCGUGUGUCCUGGGAACUAGUGAGAAAGGCAGAAGCAAGCCCCUGUCAGCCCAGCUGAUGGGAACGCCUUUGAAGGACCCUUGGCCAUCCCAAUGCACCCGGCAGUUUGGGAAACAUGUAUCCACGGGUGUGGUGUUAGAUUUUGAGAGGACCUUUUACCACUUUUUAAAAAAGACGAUUAUAACAGGGAUCAUCUUAAUUGGGCCUAGGAUACAGAUCCAACCCACAGACUGGUCCAAAGUUCAAAUUACCACCUAAAGGGAAAAAACCCAAUAGAUACUGACUGAUAAGCCAAAGACCUUCAGACCUUUGGCAAAACAUGUGUUCCAUUGGCAUGAUGAGGCGCUACGGCUCGGUGGCAUGUUUAUAGAGUUAUCAGUCCAGAUACAGAUCAGGUAAAUCAUUCUAUUCUUUCGGAUACACUGAUUUACCUGUGUUCCUGACACGCCUUGACCCUAGAUAAUGUGAAAGCUUACAGAAAGCCCCAAAGGCUGCUCCUCCAGUCCAGUGUGUCCUGGUCCCUCCUCACAGAGGAGACCGCCUGUGGGGCCUCUGGCUCCCACGCAGCCUUGGGAGGCUCAGACCUCACUGCCUUCCAUUCUCUGAGGUAUUUUUGGAUUUGAUUAAAUUCUUUUUAUGACUCCCAACUCUGUGGUGUGCAAGGCUCACAGGUAACACUGAGCAGAGUCCCCCUGUCCCCAUGAUGGGGGAUACAGUGGGUCACGGGUGGAUCAGGCCAAGGACUAGACCAAGCAGCCAGUGAGGGGAGGCAGAGGUCGGGGAAAGAAUAGCCCUAAAAUGCUUCCCAGAAGGCUGGAAAGCUGUCCAGGCCCUGGAGUGGGCCAAAACCAGAAGUGGCUGUGCCCUGUAUCAGCUGCGUCCAUGAUGAGCAAGCUGCGCCUGCCCCAGGUGACUUCGUGUUGGGUGGAACAACAGCUUUCAGGCCAUGAUCUGCCCUGAGUUCCUCCAUUGAAAGUGCCGAAGUUCUCCAAGAGUUGCUUCACUUUGAACAAAAGUGCUAAGGAAGAAUGACUCUAUAUCAUGUUUGUACAAGAAAAACAGCCAUCGGUUCCCAAUACAAACAUAAGGCACAAACUGAUAAAUGACUUAUUAAUAUUGAUUUUUAAAACCACCCGUUAACUUAUCAAAUUACGUCAGGAGCACAGAGACACGUGGACCUAUGGCAUCACCUUAGAAAUGCCAGAUGCAGGAGCUUAUCAAUCACACCAGAUGUGACCCCUUACCUAAGACCCAUAAGAGAAGGAGCACCCUAAGACCGGCACGGCUUGCUGACCACUCCCUGGCUACUAUCAGAAGUCUUGCCCUGGAAGAUCGCCUGAGCAAGGCACCGCCUGUCCCCAGGCUUCAGCUCAAGGUGGUGUCUCCUGCCCUUGGGGAAAGGUCCAUUUCAAGUGGACACUUCAGCCUACAUGCCAAAUCCUGCCCCCAGGCCCUUAGCCCUGAAGCUGGGGACCUAAACCCCAUCUAACCACCUCGACUCUGCAGUUUUAUCAGCCCUGGGCUUUGGCUCUUAGCUCUGUCUCUUGAACGUUUUCUGAGCCUUUCCACAACUUAUCUAUCAUCGUGGGCAGCGUGAUUGGAGUGUUAGGGACAUUAGCAGUUAAGGUGCCUCGGCCAUGCACCAGGUGAAAACAGAGUAUUAGGGGAACUAAAGCCCGCGAGCUGAUGGAGCUGGUGAAAUUAUUAAUAUUCAAAACUGACACCGUGGAAAGACAGGAGCAUGUGGGUCUGUGUCAAUGGCUCUGGUGACAGAGACACUGGCACAUUCCUCACCCACUCAGCCUCCUGGCCUCAUCUGUGACAUGAGACACUGAUGCUGAGGUCUGGGUCCUCAUUUAGACAUGGAAGCAAAGGACUGCGCCCUCGGUAGCCCCACCCCAAGGUGAUGGUGUCAGGCGGCGCACCUUGGCGAAGUGACUGGGCCACAAGUCCCAGAUGGGAUUAGUGCGCUAAUUAAAGGGACCCAGUGAGCUGUCCCUGCCCUUCUGCCAUCGAGGCCAUGUGAGGAGGCACCAUCCACGAACCAGGAAGCAGCCAUUGCCAGACACCGAAUCUGCCAGCACUUUGGGCUCAGACCUCCAUGCUCCAGAACCGUGAAAAAUGACUGUCUCUUGUUUGGGUCACCUGGUCUGUUGUAGCAGCCUGGAUGUUUUUCACAUGCAGAGGCUCAAUAAAAGAGACCGUGCCUCUUCGAUUAUGGAAUAAUUCAUGGAGGAAUGGAGACUACAAAUGUCAUGAAUCUUUCAACUCUUACAUAAAAUUUGAAGUGAUGAUACAGUCAUUACCCUGAUUUGAUCAUUCUGCCAUAUAUACAUAUAUUAAAAGAUUACAUUUUACCUCCUAAGUAGACACAACUAUUAUUUAUCAAUUAAAAAACAUGGGGUGGUGGCUCAGAG